rnacentral:misc_RNA from 1 species
UACGAAGGGGGCUAGCGUUGUUCGGAAUUACUGGGCGUAAAGCGCGCGCAGGCGGCUCCUCAAGUCAGGGGUGAAAGCCCAGGGCUCAACCCUGGAAUUGCCCUUGAAACUGUGGAGCUUGAGUACGGUAGAGGUGAGUGGAAUUCCCAGUGUAGAGGUGAAAUUCGUAGAUAUUGGGAAGAACACCGGUGGCGAAGGCGGCUCACUGGACCGUUACUGACGCUCAGGCGCGACAGCGUGGGGAUCAAACAGG